rnacentral:rRNA from 1 species
UCCUACGGGAGGCAGCAGUGGGGAAUUUUGGACAAUGGGGGCGACCCUGAUCCAGCCAUUCCGCGUGAGUGAAGAAGGCCUUCGGGUUGUAAAACUCUUUCAGCAGGAACGAAACGGUGAGCUCUAACAUAGCUUACUAAUGACGGUACCUGAAGAAGAAGCCCCGGCUAACUACGUGCCAGCAGCCGCGGUAAUACGAAGGGGGCUAGCGUUGUUCGGAUUUACUGGGCGUAAAGCGCACGUAGGCGGGUCGUUAAGUCAGGGGUGAAAUCCCGGAGCUCAACUCCGGAACUGCCUUUGAUACUGGCGACCUUGAGGCUGGAAGAGGUUAGUGGAAUUCCCAGUGUAGAGGUGAAAUUCGUAGAUAUUGGGAAGAACACCAGUGGCGAAGGCGGCUAACUGGUCCAGAUCUGACGCUGAGGUGCGAAAGCGUGGGGAGCAAACAGGAUUAGAUACCCCGGUAGUCCAAGCCG